rnacentral:tRNA from 1 species
GCUGAUAUGGUGGAAUGGCAGACACAACGGACUUAAAAUCCGUCGAGUAAUCAUGUGAGUUCAAGUCUCACUAUCAGCACCA